rnacentral:rRNA from 1 species
AUUGAACGCUGGCGGCAGGCUUAACACAUGCAAGUCGAACGGUAACAUAAAGAAGCUUGCUUCUUUGAUGACGAGUGGCGGACGGGUGAGUAAUGCUUGGGAAUCUAGCUUAUGGAGGGGGAUAACUACGGGAAACUGUAGCUAAUACCGCGUAAUAUCGAAAGAUUAAAGUGUGGGACCUUCGGGCCACAUGCCAUAGGAUGAGCCCAAGUGGGAUUAGGUAGUUGGUGAGGUAAAGGCUCACCAAGCCGACGAUCUCUAGCUGGUCUGAGAGGAUGACCAGCCACACUGGGACUGAGGCACGGCCCAGACUCCUACGGGAGGCAGCAGUGGGGAAUAUUGCGCAAUGGGGGCAACCCUGACGCAGCCAUGCCGCGUGAAUGAAGAAGGCCUUCGGGUUGUAAAGUUCUUUCGGUAGUGAGGAAGGCAUUUAGUUUAAUAGACUAGGUGAUUGACGUUAACUACAGAAGAAGCACCGGCUAACUCCGUGCCAGCAGCCGCGGUAAUACGGAGGGUGCGAGCGUUAAUCGGAAUAACUGGGCGUAAAGGGCACGCAGGCGGUGACUUAAGUGAGGUGUGAAAGCCCCGGGCUUAACCUGGGAAUUGCAUUUCAUACUGGGUCGCUAGAGUACUUUAGGGAGGGGUAGAAUUCCACGUGUAGCGGUGAAAUGCGUAGAGAUGUGGAGGAAUACCGAAGGCGAAGGCAGCCCCUUGGGAAUGUACUGACGCUCAUGUGCGAAAGCGUGGGGAGCAAACAGG